AAAAAAAAAAAAAAUCAUUGAUGGUAUAAAAUGUUAAAUAAAAAAAAGGAACGAAAUCUAUCCAAAAGAUGUUACAAAGAAACUUCUCCAAUUGGAUGUAAGGGAGUUGAAACUAUAGUUGCUAAAAGGUGGAACAUGUUUACUACAGCAUAAAGCCAAAAGUAUGAUGUGUUCGACUAUGACAUUGAUGGAUUCCUCUUGUUGCUGAAUAUUCUUGCAUUUUUCUCAUUCCCAGCAAUCCAUAUGAAAGCUCUAUUGAUCUAUAGAAAAGUAGUCUUCUUCUCAACCUUGAAAGGAUGCUCAAUUAGAACUAGAGACAACCAAUCUUGCACCUUAAUAGGGUCAGUCCAUGUCCAAAUGGAGCCGAGUGAGAAAAUGGGACCAAAUCUUUGAAGCAAUAAGGCAUUGAAUGAAGUUAUUAUGUUUCUGGGACUCACUAUUUGAUUUACACAAACUGCAGCAUUUUGUUGAUAGAGCCCAUCAGAAACUUCUUUGUAACCGGUCUAAGGUAUUUAGGCAAGUGUGGUUGAGUGUUCCCAAAGGUGGAACUUGAUCUUUUUUGGAUAGAAAUCCUUCUGAAUGACUUUUCAUAAGUUGGGACAUUUUCGAGAAUUUUCUGCCCAUUGAUUUGGUAGUGCAAUAGCCUUCUUUGCCUAGAAUAAAAACAGGUGACACUUCCUUAUGAAUAUAUUGAUAAGACGAGAAAGAGGUCAACAAAGAUUCCCAUUCAGGUAUUUUCUCAUUCUCUAGAUUUCUGCAAAAAUUCAUAACCCAUGUGGCGUUUUUGUGGUACCAAAAUGUCUGCCACAGAGAGAUCCUUUGUUUUUGUCGAUGCGAAUAAAACAGGAAAAGCUGCACUUAGAUUAGAGGAUUUUGUCCCAACCAUAAAUCAUUGCAAAAAAUAGUUGACUGGCCAUUUCCAACUUUGUAUCAAAUAUUUGAAUGAAUAACGUCCUCUGGUUGUAGAAUGUGCUUCCAACGGCUGUAGGAAGAAGUUUCUGACUUCCAUUCUGACUAGUUAAUCAAAAUGAGAAGACCCAAAAUUUGCUACAAUCAACUUCCUCCAUAUUUUCAAUGUGGAAUCUCCAAUACCACUUGGCUAAUAAAGCUUUAUUUCUCUUCAUUAGAUCAAGGAUACCAAGCUCUCCAUUCAACCGAAGUCAUUUUACCUUUUCCCUCUUUAGAACAUGAGAUACUUUUUGUUUUCUUGUUACCAGAUUAUGGAAAAUUUCGGAAGAUCUUUUCUAUAGCUAGGACAUCCUUUCUAGGCAAAGAGAAAAGUGACUGGAAUACAGAUCGGCCAAAGUUGCGUUAAUGAUAGAAAGUCUAUCCCUCUUUGAGAUAAAAAUGUGGCUGCAACUAAGAAGUCUUCUUUCUACUUUAUCAAUGAUAGACUGCCAAAGGGAUGUUGCUUUUGGAUUACCAUGAAGGGGAAAACCCAAGAAAGUGUCAUAAUAAAUAACGGUUUGUCAAGUGCUAAAUUCAAGAAGCAUCAUUAUAAAUACUCAACAAGUUCAGACUAAAGACCAAAUAAGUUCAGACUUUUGUCCGUUGAAAAGGUUUGUUUUUUUCUUUUUCCUUGUGAGUGGAAGAAUGAAUGGUUUAGUCCAAAAAUUGUAGAUGAUGAAUUUGAAGUAAUCAAUUUUUCUCCGAGAGGAAUGGGACAACAACCGUCUAAGGCAAUCAACUACUAAAAUAAAAAGAUGAGCUGAAAGGGGUCACCUUGCCUUAGGCUAGAAUGCCCAAAUUUUGUCCCCCAGUUUUCCACCGAUAAUGAUUGAAAAAUUUUCUGAUGACAUGCACUCUCUAAUCCAUCUUCUCCAUUUGUCUCCAAACCCCUUAACUCUCAAGAUUUCAUCUAGAAAUACCGAUUUACCUUAUUGAUGACCUUUUCAACCGCUUCUAUACCAUUCCUCAAUGAGCUCGUUUGCAGUAAGAGAGGCGUCCAGAAUUUGACACCCUGCUACAGAAGCUAAUUGAUUCUCUAUGAUAGUGCUUGGAAUCACACAUUUCAGCCUCUCCAAUAGAAUCCUGGCUAUGAUUUUAUAUAAACAAGUGGUUCAAACUCAUCAGUGACAUUGGAAAUGGAGAAAGAUAGGUCUAUCAAUGUUACUACUCUUGGUUUCUUGAAGGAUGAUCAAGAAGGAUUGUCUUUGAUAAUGACGCCUUUGACAAGAGCAUGUUUUUCUUCAAUAUUGAGAGAAUAGCUAAUAUCUUUCCUAUACUAAAUUCACAAAUACGUAGCUCCACAUGAGAGCCCUAAACUAAAAGAAUGUAAAAUUACAAUAAAGGGAAAAAUGUAAUAAUAGGUCUGUAAAUCUGAAGUUAUAUACAUGAAUGCCAUGAUAAUAUAUACUAUAACACACACACUUCCGCCAAUAACCCAAUCCCUUGAAAUUCCAGGAUAGAAUAAUCAUAAAAUAGAUUUCGACUCUUCCCUGUGUUGAGACAAGUCAAAUACCCCACUUUAGCACAAGACCUACUUCUGGUAAGCUUUUAAUACACAAAAAGCUUAUGCAACACGGGUAAGCUUGGAAUUGAAUAACAUCCCAAAUAUCUCUGUCCUCACUAGAAGAAUUAUGGAAUAGUUUUUGAUUUAUUUCUUUCAAAAUUCCAUCAGAGCCAUAGGUAUUUAGCUGCACAGGUUCUCAAUACUUCGACAUUGUUUUUACCUGGAGGGAAAACAAAGUACUGUUGAAUGUGUCCAACAAAGAACUGGGAUUGGCUGCAACAGAGCUUGUUGUCAGAUAAAGGAUGUUCUCCUAAAGCCUCAUGUUCGUGAUAAAGGAAGAAUUGUGUGGCAUGCAUUUUUUUUCAUUAUUUUGUGGGCAAUUUUAUCUGGAAGGAACAAAAUGAUCUUUAGAGCUUGAUCUCAUUCUUUUGGAUUGGGGAUUAUUCUUGUAGUUAGUGUUAGGAUUCCUUUUUCUGGUUUUUUAUGCUCUUGUACAUGCUUUCAUUUUUCUCAAAAGAAAACUUUGUUUCGUAUUAAAAAAAAGAAAAAGUACUGAUCUUAUCUUCUGGGCUUUACAUGAUUAUUUUCUAGACUGGGGCCGCUUUUGCGACA